rnacentral:rRNA from 1 species
UACGGGAGGCAGCAGUGGGGAAUAUUGGACAAUGGGCGCAAGCCUGAUCCAGCCAUGCCGCGUGAGUGAUGAAGGCCUUAGGGUUGUAAAGCUCUUUCAGUGGGGAAGAUAAUGACGGUACCCGACAGAAGAAGCCCCGGCUAACUUCGUGCCAGCAGCCGCGGUAAU